AGCUUUGCACAGCAGCAGUAUUGUAGCCCAUGAGGUUUUCCAAGGCGUAAUUACUGUCAAUUGAAAACUUUUCUCAAUACCCCACAGUGAAGACUUGCAAUAUAGCCGGCACAGACAAUUUUUGACAGUCUCUAUGGAGA